UGGGGUCACCGACUUCGGUACGAUACCAACAUUCUGGCGGAGAGCCCACGCGAGAAGUACAAGCUGAAAAAAGGAACUGAUGUAUUGUGCUUCUUAGCUAAUUCAACGACGACUGGAUCUUCAAUUAACUUUGGUUCGUGUCUUGCAAUACUUCUGAAGUGGAAUUCUUGCAAAAUGUGGAUGAUACUCCAGUUGGUUAGCACAUGGCGGCACCUUGGCCACUUCAUAUGCAAUUUUCCGGUAUUCCGCGUUAUUCACAUCAUCAUUGUCAGAGUCAUUCGGUUUUGGAUAGUGAACAAGAUACAUAUCGAUAUAGUCGGUUUGAAGAGAUUGUAGAGAUUCUUCGACAAAUCCACGGCAAGCUUCUCGACAAUUUUUGCUUUCUGGGAAGAAUUUGGAUGUCAGGAACACAUCAGAACGAGAUAAUCCAUGCUUA
ensembl:antisense_RNA F53F1.14 ncRNA